rnacentral:rRNA from 1 species
AUUGAACGCCGGCGGCAGGCUUAACACAUGCAAGUCGAGCGGGGUGAUGGUGCUUGCACUAUCACUUAGCGGCGGACGGGUGAGUAAUGCUUAGGAAUCUGCCUAUUAGUGGGGGACAACAUCUCGAAAGGGAUGCUAAUACCGCAUACGUCCUACGGGAGAAAGCAGGGGAUCACUUGUGACCUUGCGCUAAUAGAUGAGCCUAAGUCGGAUUAGCUAGUUGGUGGGGUAAAGGCCUACCAAGACGACGAUCUGUAGCGGGUCUGAGAGGAUGAUCCGCCACACUGGGACUGAGACACGGCCCAGACUCCUACGGGAGGCAGCAGUGGGGAAUAUUGGACAAUGGGGGGAACCCUGAUCCAGCCAUGCCGCGUGUGUGAAGAAGGCCUUAUGGUUGUAAAGCACUUUAAGCGAGGAGGAGGCUCUUUUGGUUAAUACCCAAGAUGAGUGGACGUUACUCGCAGAAUAAGCACCGGCUAACUCUGUGCCAGCAGCCGCCGUAA